rnacentral:lncRNA from 1 species
CUGCUGCUUCCGCCGCCGGACCGGUUCUCCAGCGCUGUCCCACGCCGCCCGGGCCCAUUUCCCGCAAUCCCCAGACAUCCGCACCUUCCCGCGCUGUCGGCUCUGUCAGCGCCGCUGUCCUGCGUCGUAGUCGAGGAGCCCGUGGCCGUGCGAGCUCUGCGGCUGUCUUGGAAGCAGAUGGAGACUGUCCCUUGGACGGCUUUGCGGGCCGAGCCGCAGGCAGCACCCCUUUCUGCCCCGCAGGACCGUGGUCCGCAGCGCCAGAUGCCCCCCCACCCCCGUGUGCAGGGCUGAGGCCUGCUGGGAGUGUGUCGUGACUGCUGUUCCAUGUAUGUGAGAGGCGAUGUCAGGAAAACCUGGAUCAGGAGGUCCCAGGUAAGUGGUGUCCUGCCUGGUUCUCUAGAGCUUAAAUUCUGUGCGGGCUGUGAGGCCGGAGGUGUUCAGGUGAUGAGAUGUGGGAAUGAGUGCUGGUGAAGACUUCUUCCCAGCGUUCCCAGCUGUGUCCCCUUGAGCUGGCGGAAGCAGGCCUGGGCCCUCUUCGGCUCCUGAGAGCCCCUGAUGAAGGCUCCUGUGACGUGGAAAGCGGCAGUAUUGGGACGG